AUCGCUUCUCGGCCUUUUGGCUAAGAUCAAGUGUAGCAUUCUGAAAACCAGAAAUAAUUUACCAGUGAGUUUUGAAGUUGUCCCUUCCGCAUAGAAAAUGUACAUAUGUCUUUGAGUUUUCUGUCCUGUUUUCAUCCAAAAGUUGAACAGUAUUAAUCACAUGGGGAGAAAAAAAAUUCUGAAGUACUCUUGAGUUUAAGUCAA
rnacentral:snRNA from 1 species